UACAGAGGGUGCGAGCGUUGUUCGGAAUUAUUGGGCGUAAAGGGCGCGUAGGCGGUGCGGUAAGUCACCUGUGAAAUCUCCCGGCUCAACCGGGAGCUUGCAGGCGAAACUGCCGUGCUGGAGUGUGGGAGAGGUGCGUGGAAUUGCAGGUGUAGCGGUGAAAUGCGUAGAUAUCUGCAGGAACACCCGUGGCGAAAGCGGCGCGCUGGACCACUACUGACGCUGAGGAACGAAAGCUAGGGGAGCAAACAGG
rnacentral:rRNA from 1 species